rnacentral:rRNA from 1 species
GAUGAACGCUGGCGGCGUGCCUAAUACAUGCAAGUCGAGCGAACAGACGAGGAGCUUGCUCCUUUGACGUUAGCAGCGGACGGGUGAGUAACACGUGGGUAACCUACCUAUAAGACUGGGAUAACUUCGGGAAACCGGAGCUAAUACCGGAUAAUAUUUCGAACCGCAUGGUUCGAUAGUGAAAGAUGGCUCUGCUAUCACUUAUAGAUGGACCUGCGCCGUAUUAGCUAGUUGGUAAGGUAACGGCUUACCAAGGCAACGAUACGUAGCCGACCUGAGAGGGUGAUCGGCCACACUGGAACUGAGACACGGUCCAGACUCCUACGGGAGGCAGCAGUAGGGAAUCUUCCGCAAUGGGCGAAAGCCUGACGGAGCAACGCCGCGUGAGUGAUGAAGGUCUUCGGAUCGUAAAACUCUGUUAUUAGGGAAGAACAAACGUGUAAGUAACUGUGCACGUCUUGACGGUACCUAAUCAGAAAGCCACGGCUAACUACGUG